AGCGAACGCUGGCGGCAGGCUUAACACAUGCAAGUCGAGCGGGCAUCCUUGUGGUGUCAGCGGCAGACGGGUGAGUAACGCGUGGGAACGUGCCCUUCGGUUCGGAAUAACUCAGGGAAACUUGAGCUAAUACCGGAUACGUGCGAGAGCAGAAAGGUUUAUCUGCCGAAGGAUCGGCCCGCGUCUGAUUAGCUAGUUGGUGAGGUUACGGCUCACCAAGGCGACGAUCAGUAGCUGGUCUGAGAGGAUGAUCAGCCACACUGGGACUGAGACACGGCCCAGACCCCUCGGGGAGGCAGCAGGGGGGAAUAUGGGACAAGGGGGGCAACCCUGAUCCGGCCAUGCCGGGUGAGUGAUGACGGCCUUGGGGUUGAAAAGCUCUUUUCCCCGGGACGAUAAGGACGGUACCGGAGGAAUAAGCCCCGGCAAACUUCGU
rnacentral:rRNA from 1 species